GAAGAACAAGAUUCAGUGGAAUUUAUGGCCGAGGCGGCAAUUUCAUUAGAAGCGGCUUUCACCAGCGAGUGUUUUAGUGCUGUGAUGAUGGUUGGAAAUAUUUGCCAGGAUCCACCUGGAUGAACUGAAGUGUUGCUAAGCGACUGGAACCCGGGCUUGUUAAAACUGUUAUUUGAUUGCUCUUUUCUGCUAAUGUGACGUUUCUGAGCGCGCGUGCUGUUUCCGAAUGACCGCGAACGCACCGCAGCCACGGAGGACGUCACAUUUCGCUCGCUCGCUCGGGAGACGCAACUUUCGAGCACUUUUCCGUGCAAGACAAACGGCUCGGGAUAAAUCAAAGUUGCUCUUUUCUCUGUGUCAGCUGCUAGGCAGUGGACUUGAAUCCCGUGGCAUUUGGGGGCGGGGCAAGGAGAGCGCAGCGUUUUGAAGAAGACCCGAUCCCGCCAGGAAUGAUGUCAAAACUGAGAUUGAAAUGAGUUGAUGGUGAGACGUAACUGUCGGCACGAAAAAAGUGCACCGUUGGAUCUCCACAUGCACUCGGAGCAGGCGCACUAACAUGCGAGAUUGAAUCGUUGAGGGAUUGAACCGGGCCUUCUGCUGCUUGGAUGCCGCGUGGGACGUCAGCGAAGGACAUUGGGAUUUUCGCGGCCACCUGUUUUCCUGGAGGGUGGUAGGACAAUCUAAAUGAUUUCCCUUGUUUUCGACUAGAAAAAUCCAUUAAAAAAAAAAAAAAAAAUCUGAGACCACAUGCGGUACACUCCAACAUCCCAAGUUUCCCACUACACAUCUGCAUCACGCUAUUUUUUCCCCCAGAUUUUAGUGAAUGUGCACAUGCUAGGAUACGCCAA